GGUUCACCCGAUUACAUUUUCUCCCUUUUCAAUUUCCAAUUUCGAAAAAGCCCUAACCCUUCUCUAUCGAUUCCCAAUUCAUUUUCAUAAACCCUAAUUCGUCUCCCCUCGUAACAAUACCCCUCCACCAGAUGAUCCUUGUUCCCAAUGAUCAAAAUCGGGGAACUGUUCCUCAACACCGAGAAAUUUACUUAGGGUCCAUAGUAACGAGCAACUAAUUUCAAGUUCUUUCUGAGGGCUAUGGAGAUUUGCUUAUACAGUUGGAGCUUUAGUUUCUUCUGACUAGGUGGCAUGUAUCCAUAGAGUGUCUCGAAAGCGGUAAUACUCAGAGUUGUGUGGUAAUUUGUAUUAUACCACUAUUCAGCCUGGGCAACCCACUUAGCCCAAGUGGUCGGUUUCUCGAAGCACUUACAUAUGAGAUAUUCCUUGAGACAUUGGUUCAAGUGCUCUGUCUGACCAUCUAUUUCUAGGUGGUAGACAGUACUGAAUAUGGUAAUGGUACCAAACUAUUUCAUCAAUUCUUGCAAAAAUAGACUAAUAAACGAUCUGUCUCGAUCAGAAAUAGCAAUCUUAAGAGGACCAUGGGGUUUGUAAAUAUGUUCUAAAUAUAAUUUUAUAACUUCAAAGACUGUGUUGUUAGC